rnacentral:sRNA from 1 species
CUAGUCGGUAGAAGGCUCGUGCAGCCUUA